rnacentral:rRNA from 1 species
UACGUAGGGGGCAAGCGUUGUCCGGAUUUAUUGGGCGUAAAGCGCGUGUAGGCUGCUCGGAAAGUCGGAUGUGAAAGCCCUGGGCUCAACCUAGGAAGUGCAUUCGAAACUUCCGAGCUGGAGUGCUGGAGAGGAAGGCGGAAUUCUCGGUGUAGAGGUGAAAUUCGUAGAUAUCGAGAGGAACACCGGUGGCGAAGGCGGCCUUCUGGACAGCCACUGACGCUGGAGACGCGAAAGCGUGGGGAGCAAACAGG